rnacentral:rRNA from 1 species
ACAAGAAAUAAUCUGUCUUAGGUUAAUAAAUUGAAUUUAACUUUUAAGUGAAAAGGCUUAGAUAAUCUGAAGGGACGAUAAGACCCUAUAAAACUUUAUAUUUAAAAGUGGUGGGUAUGAUUUGUUUAAAGGUUAUUAUUUUAAAGUAUUUGGUUGGGGUGACAAGAAUAGAAUGGAAAGUAACUGUUUUUUUUUUUUACAAUGAUGUUUGGGUUGAUGAUCCUAAAAUGGAUUAAAGAUUAAGUUACUUUAGGGAUAACAGCGUAAUUUUCUUUGAGAGUUCUUAUCGAUAAGAGAGUUUGCGACCUCGAUGUUGAAUUAAAGGUUCUUUAUGGAGUAGAGACUAUAGAAGAGGGUCUGUUCGACCUUUAAAACUUU